GUAUGAUGGCCACACGAGGGCUUUAUUGUCUCUUACUUCCAAUCCGUGAAAUUGACCUUCCCGUGAAGAGGCGGGAAUAUAACAAUAAUACGAGAAGACCCUAUGGAGCUUUAAUUAACCGACCCAAAGAGAUCUUGAUAAUCAACCGACAGGGAUAACAAAUCUCUACAUGGGCCGACAAUUUAGGUUGGGGUGACCUCGGAGAAUAAAACAACCUCCGAGUGAUUUAAAUCUAGACUAACUAGUCGAAAGUACUACAUCACUUAUUGAUCCAAAAACUUGAUCAACGGAACAAGUUACCCUAGGGAUAACAGCGCAAUCCUAUUUUAGAGUCCAUAUCGACAAUAGGGUUUACGACCUCGAUG
rnacentral:rRNA from 1 species